GCCAGGCGGUGCUGGUGCACACCUGUAGUCCCAGCUACUUGGGAGGCUGAUGUGGGAGGAUUGCUUGAGCCCAGGAGUUCAAGGCUGCAGUGAGCCAAGAUUGCGCCACUGCACUCCAGCCUGGGCAACAAAGCAAGACCCUGUUUCCA
ensembl:misc_RNA Metazoa_SRP Metazoan signal recognition particle RNA